UACGGAGGGGGCAAGCGUUGUUCGGAAUUACUGGGCGUAAAGGGCGCGUAGGCGGCCUGCUCAGUCGAAUGUGAAAUCCCCGGGCUCAACCCGGGAACUGCGUCCGAUACUGGCAGGCUUGAAUCCGGGAGAGGGAUGUGGAAUUCCAGGUGUAGCGGUGAAAUGCGUAGAUAUCUGGAGGAAUACCGGUGGCGAAGGCGGCAUCCUGGACCAUUACUGACGCUGAAUCGCGAAAGCUAGGGGAGCAAACGGG
rnacentral:rRNA from 1 species